UACAGAGGUCUCAAGCGUUGUUCGGAUUCAUUGGGCGUAAAGGGUGCGUAGGCGGUGGGGCAAGUCAGGUGUGAAAUCCCGGAGCUCAACUCCGGAACUGCACUUGAUACUGCCUUGCUAGAGUACUGGAGAGGAGACUGGAAUUUACGGUGUAGCAGUGAAAUGCGUAGAUAUCGUAAGGAAGACCAGUGGCGAAGGCGAGUCUCUGGACAGUUACUGACACUGAGGCACGAAGGCCAGGGGAGCAAACGGG
rnacentral:rRNA from 1 species